rnacentral:lncRNA from 12 species
UUUGGAGACUAGCACCUUAAAUGAAUGAGUCAUCCAGAUCCCAACUUAAUGAAAAUGAUAUAUUCCUAGGGAAUAUUCUUUUUUUUUUUUUUUUUUUUUUUUGGGAAUAUUCUUAUAUGGAAUUAUUUUAGUAAUCUAAUUUUAAACAGCUGGAACUCAUUUGUUAAGCUGUAGUCUAUUACACUUUUUGAAAAGAAUAUGCGUGUUUUUUUUUCCCCAGGAAGACACAGAAAUUUCUGAAAAAUCUGAAUACAUCCCUCAAGUUGAACUUUCAGAAUGGCUGGGUAGCUUUGUCCUCCACCUGUGUCCAGCUAUUAGUAUUAAGCUGUGAUGUUGUUAAAUCUGAUCAAGAACCCAGGUGUGCUACCUCUUACAUACAGGCCCAUGUUAUCUUAAAGGUCCAGGACCUACAGGCUAGUUGGAACAGAGGAGCAGACAAAGAAGAAACGAAUAUUUAUUGUCUUGACUCCAAAAUAUGGUGAGAGAACUCUGCAAAAUACAGAAGGUUAAAAGAUUGCUACAACUCCUUCAUUGUGGUUUGCUUUAUAUACCACUGCAUGCUGUACGCAGAUGGAUUCCUAUUUAUGAGAAAUGAGAAGCAGAGUGUGGCCCACCCUGACUCCUCACCUUGCUCUUAUCAGACUGCAUCUGACAAAUGAAACAACAGGAAGUUUUGCUGGAAGCUGUUGAUGGCUGGGGUUAAACAGCAAGCAGUGAGUGGUCUAGAAAUGUUAUAAUACUAAGCACCGAUGUUGUUUCUACCACAGUGUUGUAGAAACUGGAUAUGUAUAUAUUCAGAGCAAACUUCUGGCUUUGGGUUUUUCUUCUACUUCAUUUCUGGGAAAGUGUCACUUGUCUGACAUGGUACAUUGUGUUCCAGCUCAUACUAUUCAGGUGCACAACUAAACUUUUCUGAAGAGAGAGGGAAUAAUGGGGUACAAUGUAGUCCUUCCUGUUCCUUUAGUGUAUUAGUCAGGGUUCUCCAUAGAGACAGAACCAAUAGGAUAUAUAUAAUUAAGUAUUUAAUACACUUUAUAAUUAUACCACACUUAGAAUAAUGUUUAAUCAAAUAUGUGGUACAGCAUGGACCAGUCAAAUUGACAAAUAAAAUUAACCAUUGCAGGGUAGCCCGGGUGGCU